rnacentral:lncRNA from 1 species
CCACCACAAGAGAUCGCCGGAUCCGACCUUCUACUUGACGAAUCUAGUGGUGGCCGCUCGGUCUCCUCGUCGGAGUCUUCGUGCCUCCUCCUCACGCGCGGCGGAUCUGGAGGAGAGCCGCGGAGCACCACCGGAGUCCUCGCGCCUCCUCCUUGCACCACCGGAGCACCACCGCGGAGAGCCUCCUCCUCGCGCCUCCGCCUCGCCAUGCCCUCGCGCUGCCGCCGCCAUGCCCCGAACUCGCUGUCCCUACACCAACCAAGUGGGGCUCAUGAUGGCUUCCUCGUCGGGCUCCUGGCAACUAGGGGAGGGGAAACAAGGGGAUGCGGGGAGAGGAACUCACCGAGGCUCCUGCCGUCCUCCACGUCGGGGCUCUACUCCAGCCCGCCGCGUAGGGCUCCUCGUCGCGCGAGUCGUCGGGAGAGAAGGUGGCAUCGGCACUUGCGCGAGUCCUCGAAGGCGCACUGGAGGGAUCGGGGGAGGCGAGGAACAUUGUGUGGCCUCUGCCAUCGGGACACCGUGUGGUUUCCACGGUCGGGAUGCUGCGCGAGCUCCACUGCCGAGAAGGUGGUCUCGGCACUUGCGCG